rnacentral:rRNA from 1 species
UACGUAGGGUGCAAGCGUUGUCCGGAAUUAUUGGGCGUAAAGAGCGUGUAGGCGGCCCGAUUAGUCCGCUGUGAAAGUCCAGGGCUCAACCCUGGAAUGCCGGUGGAUACUGUUGGGCUAGAGUCCGGAAGGGGCGAGUGGAAUUCCUGGUGUAGCGGUGAAAUGCGCAGAUAUCAGGAGGAACACCAAUGGCGAAGGCAGCUCGCUGGGACGUGACUGACGCUGAGGCACGAAAGUGUGGGGAUCAAACAGG